CGUUCGGAGAUUACCUCUAUCAUUAUCUACACUGCGUAUGUAAUGGGUAUGUAAUUGUUGA
rnacentral:sRNA from 12 species